AAUUUUUGCUUUUUAAGUGCACUUUUUAAAUUAUCUUAUCUAAUCAGAACGUUCCUUCUAAUGGCCAAUGGAAUUACCCUGAGGCUGGCAGCAGCUUGGGAGGACCCUUAACCAGGAAUGGAGUUCAACCCAGGUUUCUCUCUGACUAUCUCUGGCUGCAAAAUGGGGUGCAGCGUGUUUUGUCUGACCACAUUUCGGGUCAUCUAAUCUGAUGAUUAUUAAGCCUAGCCCUCAGGACAUGAAACAAGUAAAUAUGGUAAAAUAUUUUUUGCUGUUCUUUGAAAAUAUUUACAGCUCCCAGAACCUUUCGUUUUUGAGCAAUUGUGCUGGAAUUUGGUGAGCUGGACUUUUUAAAAGUUUCUUUGUUACCUGGCUCUUAAAAAGGAGCCCCACAGUGGCCACUGUAAUUUCAAAUUAUCCCGGGUUAUCUUGCCAGCCAUUAACAGCUAUCCUAAUUUCGUUAAGCACUUGCAAGUCACAGCAUGAAGCGGGCAAGAGUUCUGAGGUGAGGCCGCCCAUUCUGGAACUGGUCAGCUUUUAGAAGCUUGAUUUCCCAUAAUUCUUUUGGUUUUGUUUUGCUAUAAAGUCUGAACAAUUCCUAGGGACAGUGUAGUGCAUCAGAAAUAUGCUGCUUGUGUUACUCCCUAAAGAAAGGUCCUAAUUACUCUCUUGCGUGCCUUAGUUUCUCCAGCCAGCAGUCUAAAACCACCAUGAGGCUUGGAGCUCGGGUGACCAACCCUCAUAUGAGCUUCCCCAGAUGAGCCUUUAAUUAAUUAACGUGAAUGAUAGUGGAGUUCCCUAUGGGACCGCUACACAUCCUGAGGAUUUGACCCUCCAACACUUCUGCUAAGGUUCUCAGUCACCUGAGAACGCCUUUCAGCCAGGAGGAGCAAUGUCCCUUUUCUUUGGAGCUGAACACAUCAGUCUCUCAUUUUCCUAUCAAGCAGUUUAUUCAGACUUUAUAUAAAUGCAAUUCUUUGCAAUUUAAAGCCAAGUUAAAAAGAUCAGCUUUCCCCAUUCACCUCAAAGUUCCUUCUAGGCUCCCCUGGCCUAGGAAAUUCUCUCUAGGUUCCUCAGUCCUCAGAAGUCCCCCUAAGUUCCUCAGUCCUCGGAAGUCCCCCUAGGUUCCUCAGUGCUAGGAAGUCCCCCUAGGUUCCUCAGUGCUAGGAAGUACCCCUAGGUUCCUCAGUCCUCGGAAGUCCCCCUAGGUUCCUCAGUGCUAGGAAGUCCCCCUAGGUUCCUCAGUCCUAGGAAGUCCCCCUAGGUUCCUCUUAGCUAGAGUAUGUACUAGUAUCCCCUAAGACACCUAGUCUUAAGGUUUGAAACAGCUCAUAUAAACUCUGGACCAUCAACUUAAAAUAAGGAGGUCAGUCUGGGUUUCAGGAGGAUGCACCAAGGUCACCAGAGGAAUGCAGUGAUCCGGGGGUCUCAAUGGGCCCCUAUUGAUACCAAGUGCUGGUUCAGUGUAGAUUCCAGGUGGUCUCCAGUGGGUUUCUCUGAAAUCUUGCUGCGGCUACACCAAGAAAUGUCAAUGCAAAUAAUCCAUAACCAAUCUAUAAAUCAAAAUCGGGGUGAGUCUAUUAUGAGCCAAAUUGAGGAUUAUAACCCAGGAAGGGCUUAGAAGGCGUUCCAGAGAAACAUGAGUUUCAGUACAGUCUUACAUCUUUUUAGCACAAAGAGGAUACAUUAUAUACACCCAGGACACAUUUUCAAAGAGGUAUUCAAUUGCAAAUUAGCAGGUCAACAUGACCCUGAUGCCAGGAAAGGGACUAAUAUGGGUGUUACCAAUAGGGCAUUACCAAUAGGGUGUAGAUGGAGAAGUAUGCAUUCUUUAUCUCAAGAGGGAUUCUUUCUUUAACGGAUAGGCAGAUGUACAAUGGAUGUUCCAUAGGACAUAAGUCAGGCUUUCUAGUUCAAGCCGAAUCAGUUUUGAACUCAAAUAGUGACCCUAUAUACCUCAAUAUGUGAAAAUCUCUUGUCAGUGGUUGAUAGCUGGACUCUGAAAUUAAAAGGGCACAAAGGGUGAGUCAAGUAAUUUAACCCAUCUCACUCUCUGGGUGUAUUAAGAUGAGGGUUAUUUUUUAAGUUUUUAUCUUUUUAGACCAAUUUUAGGUUUAAAGCAAAAUUGGUACAUUUUUACCAAGGAUGAACCUACAUUGAUAUACCAUAAUCACCUACAGUCUAUAGUUUACCUUAGGGUUCACUCUUGGUGUGGUACAUUCUAUGCGUUUGAACAUACAUAUAAUGACAUGUAUCCACCAUUAUACUAUCAUACAGAGUAUUUUCACUGCCCUAAAAAUCCUCCGUCCUCUGCCUAUUCCUCUAACCCCUCUACACCUCCACCCCUGGCAAUCACUGUUCUUUUUAUUGUUUCCAUAGUUUUGCUUUUUCCAGAAUGUCAUAUACUUGGAUCAUGUGAUACAUAGGCUUUUCAUACUGAUUUAUUUCACUUAGUAAUAUGCAUUUAAAUUUACUCCAGGUCUUGGUCUUUUCACAGCUCGAUGGCUCAUUUCUUUGUAUUGCCAAAUAAUCUUUCAUUGUCUGGAUAUACCACAGUUUAGUUAUCCAUUCACCUACUAAAGGAUAUGUUGGGUGCUUCCAAGUUUUGGCAAUUAUGAAUAAAGCUGCUAUAAACACUCAUAUGCAGGUUUUUGUGUGAAAUAAAAGGAGUUUAUUUCAACUCCUUUGGGUAAAUACCAAGAAGUGUGAGUUCUGGAUCAUAUGGUAAGAAUAUGCUUAGUUUCGUAUGAAACAGCGAACUGUCUUCCAAAGUGGUUGUAGCAUUUUGCAUUUCUACCAGGAUUGUAUGAGAGUUCCUGUUGUUCCACAUCCUUGUUGUCAUUUGGUGUUGUCAAUGUUCUGGAUUUUAGCCCUUCUAAUAGAUGUGUAGUGGUAUCACAUUGUUGUUUUACUUUGCAUUUCCCUGAUGAUCUUGAGCAUCUUUUCAUAUGCUUAUUUGUCAGCUGUACAUCUUCUUUGGUGAGGUGUCUGUUAAGGUCUUUGGCCCAUUUUUUAAUUCAAGUUCUUCAUUUUCUUACUGUGGAGUCUUAAGAGUUCUUUGUGUAUUUUGGAUAACAGUUCUUUAUCAAAUGUGUCUUUUGCAAUUAUCUUUUCCCAGUCUUUGGCUUGUCUUCUAAUUCUCUUGACAUUGUCUUUCACAGAACAGAAGUUUUUAAUUUAAUGAAGUCCAGUUUAUCAAUUAUUCUUUUCAUGGAUCAUGUCUUUGGUGUUGCAUCCCUAUACCCAAGGUAUAUCUUCCUGACCUUAGUGGGAAAACUGCUAGUUUCUCACCAUUAAGUAUGAUGUUAACUGUGGGUGUUUGUAGGUAGUCUUUAUCAAGUUGAGAAAGUUUCCCUGUAUUUCUAGUUUUCUAAGAUUUUUAUCAUGAAUGGGUGUUGAAUUUCGUCAAAUGCUUUUUUUGUAUCUAUUGAUAUGAUUUUUCUUUUUUAGCCUGUUGAUGUGAUGGAUUACAUUAAUUGAUUUUUGAAAAUGUUGAACUAGCCUUGCAUACCUGGAAUAAAUCUCAAUUGGUCAUGGUGUGUAAUUCUUUUUAUGCUUUUUUGGAUGUAAUUUGCUAACACUUUGUUGAGAAUUUUUGCCUUUUUGUUUAUGAGAGAUAUUGGUCUGUAGUUUUCCUUUAUUGUAAUGUUUUUGUCUGGUUUUGGUAUUAAGGUAACCUCAACUCUUUCUCUGACCUCAUAGAAAGAAUUAGAAGGUACUCACUCUGCUUCUAUCCUCUGAAAGAGAUUGUAGAGAAUUGGUGUAAUUUCUUCCUUAAGUGUUUGGUAGAAUCCACCAGUGAAUCUAUCUGGGCCUGAUGCUUUCUGUUUUGGAAGGUAAUCAAUUAUUGAUUCAAGUUCUUUAAUAGAUAUAGGCCUAUUCAGAUCAUCUAUUUCUUCUCCUUCUUCUUUUUUUUUUUUAAAGAUUGG
ensembl:lncRNA